AGGACUACUCGAACAACCAGUCCCUACAAUCACGGAUCGGGAGAGGCGCCCACCACCGCCGACGCUGCCGUGCCCAACCUCCACCAUGGCCGACUGCCUCCGCGCGAAUUCCCUUGCGAGGUUCUCUGUCGACCACGCCGCCUACUCCGGAGGCGAGGAGCUGGCCGACAUCCAGCUCCUCAAGGAGAAGUGCGCGCCACCGCCGACGCUGCCGCGCCCAACUUCCACCGCGGCCGACCGCCUCCGCUCGAAUCCCCUUGCGAGGCUCUCCCGCCACCACGCCGUAUACUCUCCAUGGGGAUCCGCUGUAGCAGUGCCAGGCCGUUCACCACCGCCACGGCAGGCUGUUCACUGCGGACGCCACAUGCCUGCACCCCACGGCUGGCCACUGCGCGCCUGGAGCAUGCUCUUCCGCCUGUUCCCAGUGUGUCACUGCCGGCUCACCCGAGCGUGCCGAUGAUGGCCUUCGUUGCUGUCCCAGACACCAAGACCGUCGCUUUCCUGGUCAGUCCUCUCCCUCCGCUGGCGCUGCGUUGGGUUCUACUGUCUCUCUUCCAUCGUCGUUGCAACACCUUCUCUCCUUUGUUGUUGCUGCUGCCACCGCCGUGCUGCUCCUCCCUGCUUCUGCCAUUGCCGCUGGAGCUAGCCAAAAUGUAUCAAACAUAGGGAAACCAAUCUUCAUUAGUCAUAAGUAGAGUUAAGACGACUGUUAAGUUUAUGGCAGUCAUGUCAUUUAUUAAGUCUUGCUUCUUAUUGGAUCAGCUUAGUAAAAAUGAUUUCAGUUGUUGCCGUAAAUUCGAUAAAGGUACGUAAUAAUGUGUUGUGGAUACAAUCACUUGCAUGAACAAGCAGAAUGGCAAUAAUAAGUGCUAUUUCUUCAUAUCAGUUUACUUUAAAUAAAUAUGUCUCUCAUGGAACAGUAUGUGUGUGAUGGAUCUUUUCAAGUUCGAUUCAUGUUCAGUUAGGUGCAUAUUUCGUGAGACAAUCCUGACGUCCAGCUCCUCAAGGAGAGGAGCCCUGCCACCACCGACGCUUGCGUUGCCAGGGGCACCCAUCCUUGCGAUCCAAUGGAACCGCUCAUACCACGGUUGUCGUCAGAAUCAUCCGAGUUGAUUUAACGAAUGAAGUUGUAUGUGUAAGCUUGCUUGGACUUGUAUCGUAAUCAUGGUAUAUGGCUUGAUUGUCUCAUGUGGUGCUUGCAUGAGGACUACAACGAGAUGCUCUGUUUGAAGAGCAAGCAGGCGAGCACAAUAGCGACAUGAUACUCCAAAUUUUCACAAAUUAUCAUGUGUGUUCGAAUUGGAGAGGCUUGUGACCACCCUGGAAAAGAGAUGCGCUUCCAGUGUUGUUAUUUUUUUGCCAAUAUUGCAAUAUGAUUGAAGCUUACACCAGGAUAUCAAGACCAAUUGUAGGAUUGCAUCUCCACUAAGUGAACACAUCACAAGGUUGGCUUUGAAUCAUAAUCAGGUGUAAUCUUCUUCUUUCACAGGAUGGAUGAAACAACAUUAACUUCUAUUUGCAACAACAUCACACAAUGGUGUCUCCGUUUGAAUUUCUAUGUUUUUCUGAAAUAUUUAUUUUAUUUUGUACCAGCAUGAUUUUUAAUUGGUCAACAUUUAAAACGUGUGUUGCACGUGCACACUUACUA